CUACGGGAGGCACCAGUGGGGAAUAUUGGACAAUGGGGGAAACCCUGAUCCAGCAAUGCCGCGUGUGUGAAGAAGGCCUGCGGGUUGUAAAGCACUUUCGGUUGGGAGGACUGCUUCUAGCACUAAUAUUGUUGGAAGUUGACGUUACCUUCAGAAGAAGCACCGGCUAACUCCGUGCCAGCAGCCGCGGUAAUACGGAGGGGUGCAAGCGUUAAUCGGAAUUACUGGGCGUAAAGCGCGCGUAGGCGGCUAGAUCAGUCGGGUGUGAAAGCCCCGGGCUUAACCUGGGAACUGCAUCCGAUACUGUCUAGCUUGAGUACAGGAGAGGAGAGUGGAAUUCCACAUGUAGCGGUGAAAUGCGUAGAUAUGUGGAGGAACACCAAUGGCGAAGGCAGCUCUCUGGCCCGAUACUGACGCUGAGGUGCGAAAGCGUGGGGAGCAAACAGGAUUAGAUACCCCGGUAGUC
rnacentral:rRNA from 1 species